AAGUUAAGGGGAUUUCUAGAAUUAAUUAGGUUAGUGUUGAAUUAGUAAUUAAAAUAAAAGAUAGGUUAGAUAAUAUCAAAAAUUAAUUUUCACUCUCUCCAUACUUCUCUCUCUCGACCCUAACAACCUAAAAAAAAUCAAAAUUUCAAAUCAAAUUCAUCAUCCUUGAGCAAGAAUUCAGCAAGAUUUUUGGUAGGAAAGUGAUUUUUAAGACCUAAGGGCCACUAAUCGUUGAGCAGCAGUUUCCACUCAGGUUGGCCAACACACUUGAUUAUGGAAUUGAGGUAAGGGCAAGUUAAAGAUUGAACAACAGUGAGUGUAGAGCUAGAUGAAGAUUGUAGAUAUCCAAACGGUUAGACCUAGAGUGUUCAGGUCUAUGGAACGGCAUGACUUAGAUUUUAUUAGUCGCGAAGCGUCACAUUUUGGUUUUAUUUUAUUUUGUUGUAUUUGAAAAAUAGAUUGGGAUUCUAGAUUAUGUGAACUUAUAUAUAUUAGCAAGGUUUAUAAUUAUUUUAAAAGUUCUAUUUAA